AUGCAGUCGACGAUGNAACCGCUUUCGGGCGGGGAUUAGUGGCGAACGGGUGAGUAACACGUGGGCAAUCUGCCCUGCACUCUGGGACAAGCCCUGGAAACGGGGUCUAAUACCGGAUAUGACUGUCCAUCGCAUGGUGGAUGGUGUAAAGCUCCGGCGGUGCAGGAUGAGCCCGCGGCCUAUCAGCUUGUUGGUGAGGUAGUGGCUCACCAAGGCGACGACGGGUAGCCGGCCUGAGAGGGCGACCGGCCACACUGGGACUGAGACCCGGCCCAGAUUCCUACGGGAGGCAGCAGUGGGGAAUAUUGCACAAUGGGCGAAAGCCUGAUGCAGCGACGCCGCGUGAGGGAUGACGGCCUUCGGGUUGUAAACCUCUUUCAGCAGGGAAGAAGCGAAAGUGACGGUACCUGCAGAAGAAGCGCCGGCUAACUACGUGCCAGCAGCCGCGGUAAUACGUAGGGCGCAAGCGUUGUCCGGAAUUAUUGGGCGUAAAGAGCUCGUAGGCGGCUUGUCACGUCGGUUGUGAAAGCCCGGGGCUUAACCCCGGGUCUGCAGUCGAUACGGGCAGGCUAGAGUUCGGUAGGGGAGAUCGGAAUUCCUGGUGUAGCGGUGAAAUGCGCAGAUAUCAGGAGGAACACCGGUGGCGAAGGCGGAUCUCUGGGCCGAUACUGACGCUGAGGAGCGAAAGCGUGGGGAGCGAACAGGAUUAGAUACCCUGGUAGUCCACGCCGUAAACGGUGGGCACUAGGUGUGGGCAACAUUCCACGUUGUCCGUGCCGCAGCUAACGCAUUAAGUGCCCCGCCUGGGGAGUACGGCCGCAAGGCUAAAACUCAAAGGAAUUGACGGGGGCCCGCACAAGCGGCGGAGCAUGUGGCUUAAUUCGACGCAACGCGAAGAACCUUACCAAGGCUUGACAUACACCGGAAACGUCUGGAGACAGGCGCCCCCUUGUGGUCGGUGUACAGGUGGUGCAUGGCUGUCGUCAGCUCGUGUCGUGAGAUGUUGGGUUAAGUCCCGCAACGAGCGCAACCCUUGUCCCGUGUUGCCAGCAGGCCCUUGUGGUGCUGGGGACUCACGGGAGACCGCCGGGGUCAACUCGGAGGAAGGUGGGGACGACGUCAAGUCAUCAUGCCCCUUAUGUCUUGGGCUGCACACGUGCUACAAUGGCCGGUACAAUGAGCUGCGAUACCGCGAGGUGGAGCGAAUCUCAAAAAGCCGGUCUCAGUUCGGAUUGGGGUCUGCAACUCGACCCCAUGAAGUCGGAGUCGCUAGUAAUCGCAGAUCAGCAUUGCUGCGGUGAAUACGUUCCCGGGCCUUGUACACACCGCCCGUCACGUCACGAAAGUCGGUAACACCCGAAGNCC
rnacentral:rRNA from 1 species